AUUGAACGCUGGCGGCAUGCUUUACACAUGCAAGUCGAACGGUAACAGGCCGCAAGGUGCUGACGAGUGGCGAACGGGUGAGUAAUGCAUCGGAACGUGCCCAGUCGUGGGGGAUAACGCAGCGAAAGCUGUGCUAAUACCGCAUACGAUCUAUGGAUGAAAGCGGGGGACCGUAAGGCCUCGCGCGAUUGGAGCGGCCGAUGUCAGAUUAGGUCGUUGGUGGGGUAAAGGCUCACCAAGCCAACGAUCUGUAGCUGGUCUGAGAGGACGACCAGCCACACUGGGACUGAGACACGGCCCAGACUCCUGCGGGAGGCAGCAGUGGGGAAUUUUGGACAAUGGGCGCAAGCCUGAUCCAGCAAUGCCGCGUGCAGGAAGAAGGCCUUCGGGUUGUAAACUGCUUUUGUACGGAACGAAAAGGUUUGGGUUAAUACCCUGGGCCGAUGACGGUACCGUAAGAAUAAGCACCGGCUAACUACGUGCCAGCAGCCGCCGUAACAC
rnacentral:rRNA from 1 species